GUUCCUUUAUUUCAUCAUUAAUUAAUCAGGUAAAAGAUCUUGAGUUAAUUCCAGGUGAGGCAUUCAUAUUUGGAAGCUGUUUAUAUGAAACCCCAACAAUCCUCCUCCAUCAAUGUAACUCUCAGUGCACAUAAAGCAAGUCAUUCUUAGGAUGCAAAAAAAAAAUUCCAUCAGAAAGAUAGUAGAAACAUUAGGAGUGGCAAAAUCAACAGUUUGGUGCAUUCGGAGAAAAAAAGAACACACUGGUAAGCUCUGCAACACAAAAAGGACUGGAUGUCCAUGGGAAUCAGUGGUGGAUGAUAGUAGAAUCCUUUCAAUGGUAAAGGAAAACCCCUUCUUCACAACAUCCAGCCAAGAGAAGAACACUCUCCAGGUGGAAGUCUUAUCAUUAUCCAAGUCUACCAUAAAGAGAAGAUUUCACAAGAGGAAAUACAGAGGCUUUAGCAAACCAUUCAUAAGCCUCAAGAAUAGAAAGGCCAGAUUAAACUUUGACCAAAAAAAACAAACUAAAAA